rnacentral:lncRNA from 1 species
UGUUUCGUUUGGCUCUAACAUAUUAGAUGUUAUAAUCAUAUUCAAAUGUAAACCCUUUUGCCCAAAACAAACAGUAUAUUCAAAUGUAAUUAGGUUUAUAAGACAAAGUACCUUUUAUAACCCAAGUACAUUGUUUUCUCCAAUUUGAUCAGUAGAAUUAUGCUAUACGUGACAUGUGCAUAUACACAUAAUUUAUGAAUGUUUGGUUAACUCAACCAUUUUAGGAAUAAAAGUCAUGUUUCAAGACUGUAUUAGGUCAUCUCCAAUGGUUAGCACUCUUAAAAGAUGCUUAACCAAUUUUAUAUUAGUAAAUUUUAUAUUAGUUUUUUUUUGUUUAAGCACCUCUACUAAUUUUUUUUAAUUUUCCACCCUCCAAUGAGAGAUGCUUGAAGUGGUCGUCAUGCACAAUAUUGCUCUCAACCCUGAAAAAAAAAAACGAAAUCAAUUCAUCACAAAUCAGAAACAAAUCAAAAUUCCAAAUCAAAAUCACUAAAACCCUAAUCAAAAUCCCUAAACGAAAUCAAUUCAUCACAAUUUGCUUUGUUAUAUGAGUACCCAAGUAACCAAUUCAUCAAAUAAAUUCAGUGAAAUCGAAAAAAAGAAAGAAGAGAUUCCAGAGAUAAUCGUACUUCUUCUCCUCAUCUCGAUAAACCCAGAAAUUUGCAGAGCAUCCUCUACUCCAAACGCCGAAUCUAUUCGCCUCUACAUGCAGGUACAAUUGUUGAGAACAGUUUCGAAGGAGGGGAGAGAUAGCAGAAGGAGAGAUGAAUCGAAGGAGAAGGAGGGAUGAAUCGAAAACGAAGAGAGAGGAAAAUAUGUCCAAAGAGAAAAAGAAAUAAAAGUAAAAAGAGUAUUAUAUCUCCACC